rnacentral:rRNA from 1 species
AGCUCCAAUAGCGUAUAUUAAAGUUGUUGCAGUUAAAAAGCUCGUAGUUGGAUUUCGGAACCGGCCGAUUGGUCCGUCCUUUGGAUCGUGUACUGAUCGGUCUGUUCUUCUUCGCGAAGACCGCGUGUGCCCUUAACUGGGUGGGCGUGGGAUUCGCGACGUUUACUUUGAAAAAAUUAGAGUGUUCAAAGCAGGCCUUCGCUUGAAUAUCUCAGCAUGGAAUAAUAGAAUAGGACUUUGGUCUUAUUUUGUUGGUUUCCGAGACCGAAGUAAUGAUUAAUAGGGACAGUUGGGGGCAUUCGUAUUUCAUUGUCAGAGGUGAAAUUCUUGGAUUUAUGAAAGACGAACUUCUGCGAAAGCAUUUGCCAAGGAUGUUUUCA